rnacentral:rRNA from 1 species
CACUUUCAACAACGGAUCUCUUGGCUCUCGCAUCGAUGAAGAACGUAGCGAAGUGCGAUAAGUAAUGUGAAUUGCAGAAUUCCGUGAAUCAUCGAAUCUUUGAACGCAAAUUGCACUCUCGGUGCAUGGCCGUUCUUAGUUGGUGGAGUGAUU